rnacentral:rRNA from 1 species
UCCGUAGGGCGCAAGCGUUGUCCGGAAUUAUUGGGCGUAAAGAGCUCGUAGGCGGUCUGUUACGUCCGCUGUGAAAACCCAGGGCUUAACCCUGGGCUUGCAGUGGAUACGGGCAGACUAGAGGCAGGUAGGGGAGAAUGGAAUUCCCGGUGUAGCGGUGAAAUGCGCAGAUAUCAGGAGGAACACCGGUGGCGAAGGCGGGUCUCUGGGCCGUUACUGACGCUGAGGAGCGAAAGCGUGGGGAGCGAACAGG